GACGAACGCUGGCGGCGUGCUUAACACAUGCAAGUCGAACGAAGUGGCGAACGGGUUAGUAACACGUGGGUAACCUGAUCUCCUUUUUGGGAUAAGCCUUGGAAUCGGUGUCUAAUACCGACUAAAGGGGGAUGGGCUCGCGGCCUCUCUGCUUGUUGGUGGGGUGAUGGCCUACCAAGGCGGUGACGGGUAUCCGGCCUGAGAGGGGGACCGGCCACAUAGAAACUGGGAUAAGGCCCAGGGUACGAAGGGAUGGAGCAGUGGGGAAUAUUGCACAAUGGGCGAAGGCAGGAUGCAGCGACGACGCGUGGGGGAUGAAGGCUUUCGAGUUGUAAACGUGUGAAGCAAUGGAACGGGUAGCUGGAGAAGAAGCACCGGCUAACUACGUGCCAGCAGCCGCGGUAAUAC
rnacentral:rRNA from 1 species